rnacentral:snRNA from 1 species
AUCACUUCUCAUCAAGUGUAUUUUCUGUUCUUAAAUAUCUGAUAUGAGUCCUCUGUCUGAGGACAACAUGUUAAAUGGAUUUUUGGAACUAGAAGAUGGAGUAUGAGCUUGCUCCAUCCAUCCUAUGCAACAAAACCUGGAAUUGCAGUACCACCAAGAACAGUGCACCCCUU